GACGAACGCUGGCGGCGUGCCUAAUACAUGCAAGUAGGACGCAGUUGCGAACGGGUGAGUAACGCGUAGGUAACUACCUAUUAGAGGGGGAUAACUAUUGGAAACGAUAGCUAAUACCGCAUACUAGUAGAUUGACCUGCGUUGUAUUAGCUAGUAGGUAGGGUAAGGGCCUACCUAGGCAACGAUACAUAGCCGAACUGAGAUGGGUGUAGGCGCAACUGGGACAGGGACACGGCCCAGACUCCUACGGGAGGCAGCAGUAGGGAAUGUUUGGCAAUGGGGGGAAGCCUGACCGAGCAACGCCGCGUGAGUGAAGAAGGGUUUCGGAGCGUAAAGCUCUGUUGUUAAGGAAGCGGUACUUAACCAGAAAGGGACGGCUAACUACGUGCCAGCAGCCGCGGUAAUAC
rnacentral:rRNA from 1 species